rnacentral:rRNA from 2 species
AGAGUUUGAUCAUGGCUCAGAUUGAACGCUGGCGGCAGGCCUAACACAUGCAAGUCGAACGGUAACAGAAAGCAGCUUGCUGCUUUGCUGACGAGUGGCGGACGGGGGAGUAAUGUCUGGGAAACUGCCUGAUGGAGGGGGAUAACUACUGGAAACGGUAGCUAAUACCGCAUAACGUCGCAAGACCAAAGAGGGGGACCUUCGGGCCUCUUGCCAUCGGAUGUGCCCAGAUGGGAUUAGCUAGUAGGUGGGGUAAAGGCUCACCUAGGCGACGAUCCCUAGCUGGUCUGAGAGGAUGACCAGCCACACUGGAACUGAGACACGGUCCAGACUCCUACGGGAGGCAGCAGUGGGGAAUAUUGCACAAUGGGCGCAAGCCUGAUGCAGCCAUGCCGCGUGUAUGAAGAAGGCCUUCGGGUUGUAAAGUACUUUCAGCGGGGAGGAAGGGAGUAAAGUUAAUACCUUUGCUCAUUGACGUUACCCGCAGAAGAAGCACCGGCUAACUCCGUGCCAGCAGCCGCGGUAAUACGGAGGGUGCAAGCGUUAAUCGGAAUUACUGGGCGUAAAGCGCACGCAGGCGGUUUGUUAAGUCAGAUGUGAAAUCCCCGGGCUCAACCUGGGAACUGCAUCUGAUACUGGCAAGCUUGAGUCUCGUAGAGGGGGGUAGAAUUCCAGGUGUAGCGGUGAAAUGCGUAGAGAUCUGGAGGAAUACCGGUGGCGAAGGCGGCCCCCUGGACGAAGACUGACGCUCAGGUGCGAAAGCGUGGGGAGCAAACAGGAUUAGAUACCCUGGUAGUCCACGCCGUAAACGAUGUCGACUUGGAGGUUGUGCCCUUGAGGCGUGGCUUCCGGAGCUAACGCGUUAAGUCGACCGCCUGGGGAGUACGGCCGCAAGGUUAAAACUCAAAUGAAUUGACGGGGGCCCGCACAAGCGGUGGAGCAUGUGGUUUAAUUCGAUGCAACGCGAAGAACCUUACCUGGUCUUGACAUCCACGGAAGUUUUCAGAGAUGAGAAUGUGCCUUCGGGAACCGUGAGACAGGUGCUGCAUGGCUGUCGUCAGCUCGUGUUGUGAAAUGUUGGGUUAAGUCCCGCAACGAGCGCAACCCUUAUCCUUUGUUGCCAGCGGUCCGGCCGGGAACUCAAAGGAGACUGCCAGUGAUAAACUGGAGGAAGGUGGGGAUGACGUCAAGUCAUCAUGGCCCUUACGACCAGGGCUACACACGUGCUACAAUGGCGCAUACAAAGAGAAGCGAUCUCGCGAGAGCAAGCGGACCUCAUAAAGUGCGUCGUAGUCCGGAUUGGAGUCUGCAACUCGACUCCAUGAAGUCGGAAUCGCUAGUAAUCGUGGAUCAGAAUGCCACGGUGAAUACGUUCCCGGGCCUUGUACACACCGCCCGUCACACCAUGGGAGUGGGUUGCAAAAGAAGUAGGUAGCUUAACCUUCGGGAGGGCGCUUACCACUUUGUGAUUCAUGACUGGGGUGAAGUCGUAACAAGGUAACCGUAGGGGAACCUGCGGUUGGAUCACCU